ACUACGGGUGGCAGCAGUGGGGAAUAUUGCACAAUGGGGGAAACCCUGAUGCAGCGACGCCGCGUGAGUGAAGAAGUAUUUCGGUAUGUAAAGCUCUAUCAGCAGGGGAGAAGAAAGACGGUAGCUGACUAAGAAGCCCCGGCUAACUACGUGCCAGCAGCCGCGGUAAUACGGAGGGGGCAAGCGUUAUCCGGAUUUACUGGGUGUAAACGGAGCGUAGACGGCUGUGCAAGUCUGAAGUGAAAGCCCAGGGCUCAACCCUGGGACUGCUUUUGAAACUGGGGAGCUAGAGUGCUGGAGAGGUAAGUGGAAUUCGUAGUGUAGCGGUGAAAUGCGUAGAUAUUAGGAGGAACACCAGUGGCGAAGGCGGCUUACUGGACAGUAACUGACGUUGAGGCUCGAAAGCGUGGGGAGCAAACAGGAUUAGAUACCCGAGUAGUC
rnacentral:rRNA from 1 species